GUCUCUUCGGAGACAUCCGAUAAAAUUGGAACGAUACAACAAAGAUUAGCAUGGCCACUACGCAAGGAUGACACGCACAAAUGGAGAAAUAAUCCAAAUUUUU
rfam:Oryza sativa Japonica Group DNA, chromosome 6, cultivar: Nipponbare, complete sequence.